UGGAGGUCAGAUACAUGGGAUGUUGACUUGGGAGCACCAGUGGAGGUCAGAAUGCACAUGGGAUGUUGACUUGGGACACCAGUGGAGGUCAGAAUGCACAUGGGAUGUUGACUUGGGACACCAGUGGAGGUCAGAUACAUGGGAUGUUGACUUGGGACACCAGUGGAGGUCAGAUACAUGGGAUGUUGACUUGGGACACCAGUGGAGGUCAGAUACAUGGGAUGUUGACUUGGGACACCAGUGGAGGUCAGAUACAUGGGAUGUUGACUUGGGACACCAGUGGAGGUCAGAUACAUGGGAUGUUGACUUGGGACACCAGUGGAGGUCAGAUACAUGGGAUGUUGACUUGGGACACCAGUGGAGGUCAGAUACAUGGGAUGUUGACUUGGGACACCAGUGGAGGUCAGAUACAUGGGAUGUUGACUUGGGACACCAGUGGAGGUCAGAUACAUGGGAUGUUGACUUGGGACACCAGUGGAGGUCAGAUACAUGGGAUGUUGACUUGGGACACCAGUGGAGGUCAGAUACAUGGGAUGUUGACUUGGGACACCAGUGGAGGUCAGAUACAUGGGAUGUUGACUUGGGACACCAGUGGAGGUCAGAUACAUGGGAUGUUGACUUGGGACACCAGUGGAGGUCAGAUACAUGGGAUGUUGACUUGGGACACCAGUGGAGGUCAGAUACAUGGGAUGUUGACUUGGGACACCAGUGGAGGUCAGAUACAACGGCCUGAGAACACUGGACUUGUUUUAUCAUUUGAGGGGCGCUUCACGAGCAAAGUCAUUUGUAUCAUUUUACUUUGUCUGUGAAAACCAUUAGCGCAGGUAAUCUAACUAGGUUUACCAGUAGCCAGAGUCAUUUAUUUCUUAAUUCUAUGGCUCUGGGCUUAGCUAUACCACAGCCUCUGCCAUAGAAACAAACAGAGCAUGGCUUGAUGUCAGUGGUUGCACAUUUACAUGCAGAA